rnacentral:rRNA from 1 species
GACGAACGCUGGCGGCGUGCCUAAUACAUGCAAGUAGAACGCUGAAGCUUGGUGCUUGCACCGAGCGGAUGAGUUGCGAACGGGUGAGUAACGCGUAGGUAACCUGCCUGGUAGCGGGGGAUAACUAUUGGAAACGAUAGCUAAUACCGCAUGAUAUUGAUUAUUGCAUGAUAGUCAAUUAAAAGGUGCAAUUGCAUCACUACCAGAUGGACCUGCGUUGUAUUAGCUAGUUGGUGAGGUAACGGCUCACCAAGGCAACGAUACAUAGCCGACCUGAGAGGGUGAUCGGCCACACUGGGACUGAGACACGGCCCAGACUCCUACGGGAGGCAGCAGUAGGGAAUCUUCGGCAAUGGACGGAAGUCUGACCGAGCAACGCCGCGUGAGUGAAGAAGGUUUUCGGAUCGUAAAGCUCUGUUGUAAGAGAAGAACGAGUGUGAGAGUGGAAAGUUCACACUGUGACGGUAUCUUACCAGAAAGGGACGGCUAACUACGUGCCAGCAGCCGCGGUAAUACGUAGGUCCCGAGCGUUGUCCGGAUUUAUUGGGCGUAAAGCGAGCGCAGGCGGUUAGAUAAGUCUGAAGUUAAAGGCUGUGGCUUAACCAUAGUACGCUUUGGGAACUGUUUAACUUGAGUGCAAGAGGGGAGAGUGGAAUUCCAUGUGUAGCGGUGAAAUGCGUAGAUAUAUGGNGGAACACCGGUGGCGAAAGCGGCUCUCUGGCUUGUAACUGACGCUGAGGCUCGAAAGCGUGGGGAGCAAACAGG